rnacentral:rRNA from 1 species
UACGAAGGGGGCUAGCGUUGUUCGGAUUUACUGGGCGUAAAGCGCACGUAGGCGGAUCGUUAAGUCGGGGGUGAAAUCCUGGAGCUCAACUCCAGAACUGCCUUCGAUACUGGCGAUCUUGAGUCCGGAAGAGGUGAGUGGAACUCCUAGUGUAGAGGUGGAAUUCGUAGAUAUUAGGAAGAACACCAGUGGCGAAGGCGACUCACUGGUCCGGUACUGACGCUGAGGUGCGAAAGCGUGGGGAGCAAACAGG